rnacentral:lncRNA from 1 species
UAUGGAGCUGAUCCCGGACCGAAAGAAGCAGCGCACCUACAUUAUUGCGACUACAACCCCCGAGUCCUUCGGGACCCAUGGGUUCGACAUGCUCAACCACAAGAGCCAACACAGGAGACAAGGUCGGAGAGCCAAGAUCACCAGUGGACAAACCCGCCUUUCCGUAUAGGCAGGUACUCCACUGAUCCAUAUGGAGCUUCAGGGUCCAGACCUCCGCCCCAAUUCAAAGCAGGAUGGUACUUCGACGCCUCUUAUGCUUUCACGAACGACUACUACCAAGAGGCCAGCGCUUUCUUCACCCGUACCGACAACACCCUCCUCGACAUCCAAAA